GCCGGUGUAGCUCAGCUGGCAGAGCAACGCACUCGUAAUGCGUAGGUCGGUGGUUCGAGUCCACUCACCGGCACCA
rnacentral:tRNA from 1 species